UAGGCCAAGGCAAGCAAUUCAGUAUCGGAUAAGGUUUUCCCCAAUUGCUGUUGGCACUUCAGAUGCAAGUGUCAUAUUCCUGUCAGAGAUGGUUGGAGAGUUUUGGUACGCUCUGAAGCUGAUUGUAGACAAACCUUUGCCAACUACUCUACCUGAAAUAGAAUGUGAACUUGGAAAAUGGGUUCGUCUAUACAUACCUCUCUUUAAUCCUACAUGUGAAACUCUGGAACUGGAAAUUGU